UAGGGAAUAUUGGUCAAUGGGCGAGAGCCUGAGCCAGCCAUGCCGCGUGCAGGACGACGGCCUUCUGGGUUGUAAACUGCUUUUAUACAGGAAUAAAAUGGCGUUGCGGCGCAGAUUGCAUGUACUGUAUGAAUAAGCACCGGCUAACUCCGUGCCAGCAGCCGCGGUAAUACGGAGGGUGCGAGCGUUGUCCGGAUUUAUUGGGUUUAAAGGGUACGUAGGCGGAAGGCUAAGUCCGAGGUGAAAGCCCCCAGCUCAACUGGGGAGGUGCCUUGGAUACUGGUCAUCUUGAGUGCCGUAGAGGUAGGCGGAAUUCAUGGUGUAGCGGUGAAAUGCAUAGAUACCAUGAGGAACACCGAUAGGGAAGCCAGCUUACUAGACGGUUACUGACGCUGAGGUACGAAAGCGUGGGGAGCGAACAGGAUUAGAUACCCCCGUAGUCC
rnacentral:rRNA from 1 species